GUGCUCACUUAAGCAGCACGUAUACUGAAAUGGAAACAGUACAGAGAAGAUUAGUAUGGUCCCUGAGCAAUGGUGACAUACAAAUGUGGAAGCAUUCCGUAUUUUU